AUUGAACGCUGGCGGCAGGCCUAACACAUGCAAGUCGAACGAGUGGCGGACGGGUGAGUAAUGUCUGGGAAACUGCCUGAUGGAGGGGGUUAACUACUGGAAACGGUAGCUAAUACCGCAUACCAUCGGAUGUGCCCGGAUGGGCUUAGCUAGUGGGUGGGGAAAAGGCUCACCUAGGUGACGAACCGUAGCUGGUCUGAGAGGAUGACCAGCCACACUUGAACUGAGACAAGGUCCAGACUCCUACGAGAGGCAGCAGUGGGGAAUAUUGGACAAUGGGCGCAAGCCUGAUGCAGCCAUGCCGCGUGUGUGAAGAAGGCCUUCGGGUUGUAAAGUACUUUCAGCGGGGAGGCGUUACCCGCAGAAGAAGCACCGGCUAACUCCGUGCCAGCAGCCGCGGUAAUUG
rnacentral:rRNA from 1 species